UCCUGGAGCCUGGAGCUGGGUGGAAGUUCAGAUAAGCAUACUUUGGCAAGAGCAAGGUCAGGUUCCAGAAUUAUGCCUGGACAGGGAACUGGAAGAUAAAGGCCAGAGAGGAUCCAAACAGGGGACAAAUGAAGAAAGGAUGCUUGUUUGAGAUCAUAGAGACCUCAGGGAAUCCUAUCUCACUUGCGCUAUCCAUCACCUUCUCUAGGGUUGAAUCUUCACUGAAGACUCCGGGAACCUUAGGGAAGAAGAAGAAAAUAUCCCCAGAUUCACCAUUCUAAAUGUGAUGUUUCCUGAAGCAGUCUGAAAGAGUCAAGGAGAGGCAGUGAAAGGGACAACACUGCAGACUUUUCUGACGCUGGACAACUGCACCACCAGAGUUGUGCCAGAGCAGGCAAAGAACAAGAGGUUAUGAAGGUUACAUAAAAUAAGAAACAAUAUCAGCUAGUAAGGAAACAACUCCAGAAAUAGAGGGAGAAGACAGCAGAUUCCCGCACAUAGUACAUGCCAAAGAUGCUGCAGGAAGAGACAGCAACAUCAUGUUAAAGAAAACGCUCUCAGAAGCUUUCAGUGGAAGUCACUGCAGAGAGUGGAAAAAAGAAAAGAGAAAGAAAAACUGAAGUAUAUAAGCUCACUCAAGAACACUUUGAAAGCUCUUAAUAUUUUGGUCACAUUAAGUAAGAACGUCACGGAAGACCAUCUGCUGUUAGGACCUA